UAAAAGGUCUUACCACAGGGGCUGUCAUACCCAUACCUACAUCAGCUGUCUUCUUCCUCUCUCUGACCUGGGUUUAUCUCUAUUGCAGAAGAAUGGCUCUCAGCUCCCGGUGCUGCCCAUCUGAUAUAUGCCCCAAACCAUGUGUUGAUGCUUGCAACUGGCCAUGUGUUACAUCUUGCGGUGACUCAAAGGCAGUGGUCUAUGCUCCACCAGUUAUCGUGCACUUCCCAGGACCAAUCCUCACCUCCUGCCCUCAGGAGAGCAUUGUGGGAACCUCCAUGCCAAACAUAAUACGUGGUGGUGGGGGCCCAUACUCUUCUGGGACCAUUGGUUCUGGUUUUUCCUCUGGGUUUAGUUCCGGCUUUAGUUCUGGUUCUGGCUCUGGGUUUGGUGGUGGCUAUGGAUUGGGUGGUGGCUAUGGAUUGGGUGGCGGCUAUGGAAUUGGUGGUGGCUAUGGAAUGGGUGGUGGCUAUGGGAUUGGUGGUUGCUAUGGAUUUGGAGGUGGCUAUAAGUCUGGUGGUUACUAUGGGUCUGUGUCAUCCCGGCGCCGUCGAUUCAGCUCUGUAGGCUGUGGGCCGUGCUAAACCCAGCAGCAACAUCCACAGAACAAGGAACGCCCAAGUAAUGAAAAGCAAGAUACAGUAUCACAGCUGAGCUGGCGGGGCUGGCUCUCAGGUUUGCUGAGCACCCACAACUCCCAUGGACAACAGACAGAGUCAUGAUUGCUCAGUGUCUCUGAAAAUCAGACCCAUCUCUAUAUUUUCCGUGUGUGCUUCACCUUUACUUAGUGGAUUGUUUUUUGGUGCUACAUAUUUUUAGUAUAUGCUUGCAUGGCACUUUGUGCUGCUGGCCGUCAGCUUUGGGAAAACCAACAAGUUGACUUGUUCGAGAUUGGGGCUUGAUGCUGCAGCAAAAGAAGUCAAACGUCUUGUGUGAAGUGCAGUCCCAUACAACAGAUGAUUGGACAUGACCAGUCACGGAGUCCUGGAAGCAACUUUCUCCUUUUCAUUGCCUUAUUCUGCCAAUGUAUACUCAGCCUCUUGUAUUAAAGCUCUGUUGCAUCACA